rnacentral:rRNA from 3 species
CUUCUAAUGGUGGAUCACUCGGCU